UAGUAAAGAUGUUCUGCUAAAGGCGCGACGUCCUGUCGCAACGCAGAACUGCCUGCAUCGUGCUGC
rnacentral:sRNA from 1 species